rnacentral:lncRNA from 1 species
GUAGUAUGUGUGUGUGACUACAUUUAUAGUGGUGUAUUCUAGUUCUGUGUGUGUCCUGCUCUCUCUUCUAUCCAUUUAUCCCUCUCAUCCUCCCUCCCUUGCACCUUGGCUCAGUAACACUUUCCCAUUGAAUCUGUUCUCAUUCUCCCUCUGAAUAUUUCUCACUUUCUUACCUCUCUCUGGUUUUAUCACUUGGCCUAACUUUUUUUUGUCCCCUGAAAUGGUCGUACUCUCUGAGUCUACUAGUUAGUCUCCCUUCCCCUUGUUUCUUUUUAAAUGAUAUGUUGUCCAGUACCAUGGGAUAGACCCCUAUUGAAUAUACAGUAUGUAUGACUAUACAGUAUGUAUGACUAUACAGUAUGUAUGACUAUACAGUAUGUAUGUAUGACUAUACAGUAUGUAUGUGUGGGGACACUCUAGUUCUCCAUCAUUACAGGACAGGGUAUUCAUGUUGUCCCAGUUCUGCUGCAACCUACUUACUAUUUAUUCAGAACAGACCUUCCCCUACAGUCACUGUGUGUCUGUGUCACAGCGGCUCACAGCGUGCCAGUUCCUGGCAUUGUUAUUAAUUCAAGCCUGAAGGCAGCAGGGAAGAAGGCCUGACUAGAUAACAGGUCAAGCCUAAUGGCAGCAGGGAAGAAGAAGGCCUGGCUAGAUAACAGGUCAAGCCUGAUGGCAGCAGGGAAGAAGGCCUGGCUAGAUAACAGGUCAAGCCUGAUGGCAGCAGGGAAGAAGAAGGCCUGGCUAGAUAACAGGUCAAGCCUGAAGGCAGCAGGGAAGAAGGCCUGGCUAGAUAACAGGUCAAGCCUGAAGGCAGCAGGGAAGAAGAAGGCCUGGCUAGAUAACAGGUCAAGCCUGAUGGCAGCAGGGAAGAAGAAGGCCUGGCUAGAUAACAGGUCAAGCCUGAAGGCAGCAGGGAAGAAGGCCUGGCUAGAUAACAGGUCAAGCCUGAUGGCAGCAGGGAAGAAGGCCUGGCUAGAUAACAGGUCAAGCCUGAAGGCAGCAGGGAAGAAGAAGGCCUGGCUAGAUAACAGGUCAAGCCUGAUGGCAGCAGGGAAGAAGAAGGCCUGGCUAGAUAACAGGUCAAGCCUGAUGGCAGCAGGGAAGAAGGCCUGGCUAGAUA